CCGCUAUAGUCAUAGCAUGGCUAUAUUUACCUCACAUUGGCCAUUUGGAUUUAUUUCGCAAAAAGCAGAGUUUUGUGAAUUACCCUGAGUGUCUCAUCCUAUGUAAUCGCACACUAUGUCAUAGUGUGUGGUGUGAGCGGUGAGUGCUGACUGUGCUUGAUGUGAUGUGUGUGUAGUGUGUGCUAGCUGCAUGUAAUGUGCGUGUGCUGGCUGUAUUUGAUGACUGUGUGUGGUGGGGGAGGGGUUGUUGGCUGUAUGUAAUGUGUGUUUGUGUCUGUG